ACACAUGCACACACGGCCAUAAACCUGGAGUAACACACCCCCUUUCAGUGAUAUCACCAGAGCUGUUGCAGCACACUGAAAUGACAUUUUCUGCACACCCUUCUUAGACACUGUUUGAGCAGUCUAACUCAGGACCAAGACGUCCCAUUUGCAGAUAGGCAGAGGACAGGAACAAGACAGGACACGCACCCUCGACACCACACCGCAGACAUGUCAGACUCAGAGACCGCCGCCGCCCCCGCCGAGGCCCCUGUCCCUGCUGCUUGUGCUGCCAUCAAGGCUGACCUGGACAAAUGUGUGGCCGAGAAGGGAGCCGAGGGCUGCAAAGAUCUGAUCGAGGCCUUUGCUGCUUGUGUGAAGAGUGCAGCUGACGGGACGUCAUGAGGAGUCGCCCUCCACCCUCCAAAUGUCCACUGCACUGAGUCCUCCAAGUUCCCAGCAUUCCCUUCUACACAACAGCACUGGAAUGAACGAUGAUGAGGAGGAGGAUGAAGAUGAUGAUCAUGGCGUGAUAAACUUCUCGCUGAAUUUGGGAUAUGGUAGCAGUAAACCACAACCCCCCCCCCAAAAUCUGGUGUCCCCGAAUGUCUUUCGCCAUUCCCCUUUUCCCUCUACGGCUGACAUGCAGAACAUCCACUAGUAGACAAUUCCAGAGAGCGGAGCUGUAAUGUAAAUGGUCGACAUAAAUACUUAUAUAAAUGGAAAUAAAAGUAUAAAAACAAA